rnacentral:rRNA from 1 species
GACGAACGCUGGCGGCGUGCUUAACACAUGCAAGUCGAACGAGAAGAGAUGAGAAGCUUGCUUCUUAUUGAUUCGAGUGGCAAACGGGUGAGUAACGCGUAAGCAACCUGCCCUCUAGAUGGGGACAACAGCUGGAAACGGCUGCUAAUACCGAAUACGUUCUUCUGUCGCAUGGCAGAGGGGAAGAAAGGGAGGCUCUUCGGAGCUUUCGCUGGAGGAGGGCUUGCGUCUGAUUAGCUAGUUGGAGGGUAACGGCCCACCAAGGCGACGAUCAGUAGCCGGUCUGAGAGGAUGAACGGCCACAUUGGACUGAGACUACGGCCCAGACUCCUACGGGAGGCAGCA